GCCUUCGUAAUGUAACGGUAGCACACUUGGCGCGUACUCGAGUGGCCCAGGUUCAUAUCUUGGCGAGGGCA
rnacentral:tRNA from 1 species